GGAGGCCAGCGAAUGGCAAGACUAGGAACACCUGUACCCUUUGUAUUAAAAAAACUUUUCAUCUAAGUGAAAAGACUUAGAUAAUAAAGGAAGACGAAAAGACCCCGCGGAACUUUACUUUUUCUUGUACCCCCGCCCAAAAGCAUAAUAGUACGAAAAGUUUGAUUGGGGCAAUCUCGGAACCAACAAGCUUCCGAUUCUUUAAACAAAAAAAUCCAAAAUUUGAUAUAGAAAAAAUCAGAAGUUACCCCGGGGAUAACAGCGUUAUCCAACUCAAGAGUACACAUCGAAAGUUGGGUUUGCGACCUCGAUGUUGGCUUAA
rnacentral:rRNA from 1 species